rnacentral:rRNA from 1 species
GACGAACGCUGGCGGCGUGCUUAACACAUGCAAGUCGAACGGAAAGGCCCUGCUUUUGUGGGGUGCUCGAGUGGCGAACGGGUGAGUAACACGUGAGUAACCUGCCCUUGACUUUGGGAUAACUUCAGGAAACUGGGGCUAAUACCGGAUAGGAGCUCCUGCUGCAUGGUGGGGGUUGGAAAGUUUCGGCGGUUGGGGAUGGGCUCGCGGCUUAUCAGCUUGUUGGUGGGGUAGGGGCUUACCAAGGCUUUGACGGGUAGCCGGCCUGAGAGGGUGACCGGCCACAUUGGGACUGAGAGAGGGCCCAGACUCCUACGGGAGGCAGCAGUGGGGAAUAUUGCACAAUGGGCGGAAGCCUGAUGCAGCAACGCCGCGUGCGGGAUGACGGCCUUCGGGUUGUAAACCGCUUUCGCCUGUGACGAAGCGUGAGUGACGGUAAUGGGUAAAGAAGCACCGGCUAACUACGUG